GACGAACGCUGGCGGCGUGCUUAACACAUGCAAGUCGAGCGGUAAGGCCCUUUCGGGGGUACGACGAGCGGCGAACGGGUGAGUAACACGUGGGUGACCUGCCUUUAGCUCUGGGAUAAGCCUGGGAAACUGGGUCUAAUACCGGAUACGACUCCGCGGUGCAUGCUGUGGGGUGGAAAGCCUUGUGCGGCUGGAGAUGGGCCCGCGGCCUAUCAGCUUGUUGGUGGGGUGAUGGCCUACCAAGGCGACGACGGGUAGCCGGCCUGAGAGGGCGACCGGCCACACUGGGACUGAGAUACGGCCCAGACUCCUACGGGAGGCAGCAGUGGGGAAGUCUUGCGCAAUGGCGAAAGCCUGACGCAGCGACGCCGCGUGAGGGAUGACGGCCU
rnacentral:rRNA from 1 species